rnacentral:lncRNA from 1 species
UACCGGUGCUGUUCACUUACCCCCUUUUUAUAGAUGAAGUUCUUGUAACCGUCGGACAUGGUUCCAUAUUUUAUGGUGCUAAAUUAUCGGGCUAUAAUCACGUAGUGGGUCAUUAAUUUUCACUAAUUGUACCGUGAUAUGCGGCGGAUAACCGUUCGUGACGGUUAUGGCAUGUUGGACAGAUCAACCGACCACACGUCAGUAGUAGACGUGACCGUCGGUUGAUAAUUCUGUCAUACCGUCAACUCAAGUCGUCCACUAUUUAUCAAUAGUGGCCGAAUACUAAUCGGUCAUCGGCUAUAAGUCGGUGAGGUUUGUUCAAUCG